AUGCACACACCUUUCAGCCUUUAGUAAUCAAAAGCACCCUUUCCUUCCCAGCCUAGUUGAAUACUGUUAGUACUGAAGGACAAACUGCAUCCUGCCACGUCCAAAACAGAAUGAAGCCCCGCCCCCCUAGUUUUUAAGACCACCCCAUGGAUGGUACUGGAGCAAUUAACCCAAUGUGUGUGGGGGGUGCGAGAUCUGGGAAGCUUACAGAGAUAAAGUGGCAGUUUUGCAUUUAACACCAGCAUUUAGCACUAGCUCAGGGGUAUUGAGAGCUGCUUGAUUAGAGGGGCAAGGAAGGGAGGAUGCGUGUGGGGGGGAAUUGGUAAGUGCCUCCUUCAGCUUCCCCCCUAUCUAGUUGGUAUGAUCCUUUCCCUCAAAAUGAGAACUUCGGGACCACUUGCUGCAGUUCAAGCGAAGCAAGAAACGUGUCGUCGUGCUUCUUUUCCUUGAGUGAGCUUCUUGGCAUGGAAGAAAAGGGUGACAAUCCAGAUUUGUAGCUGGAGCAUCUAGACAGUAGGGUGAAGAAAAGAGACAGGUAGACCUGAGAAGUAGCUGGCACAGCAGCUGCUGAGACUCACUGUGCUGCUGAACUUCUGAAGAGACAACCAUUAUCUCCAGGAUGCUUAACAGACAUAUGAAGGCCUCGGGUGCCUGAAGAAUGAUAAAUCCCAGAAUCCCUGGCAUAAUGAUGCACUGCAUUAAAGACACCAAAAGGGAGAGAGGAGGAAACAGAGAGGCCUCAAGAGAGGACCUCCCAUUACCACAACUGCCUGCCAUCUUGGCCCUCUGAAAAUCUGCUCCUGGGGGCUGGGGAACACCCCAGAACUGCCUAGAAGGUGAUAUGGGAGGCUACAGAGCGAAGGAAGAAUAUGAAGAUUACCUUUCCUGCUUUCCAUCAGCAGAGGUCUGCAUCAGACCAAAGACUCUUCUGCAAAUGGAAGGGGCGCCUUCCAUUUGCAUAUUGUGCACCAGUUAUUUUUUUGAACACAAAGGUAAGCCAUACGAUGGCCAAGCAAUUUGGUUUGUUGAGAUCCACUUUGAAUCAAGCAGAUGAAAAUAUGUACAUCACUAUUUAAAUCAUGUCUUUCCCCCAUAUAUUGUCCAUCUUGGGAAUCUCUUUUCAGGGAACACUAGCUUCCAUACUAGUAAGUCAGUAAAGCUGCUUUAUUUUGGGGGGGGGGGAGAAAACAGGAUUAAAGACAACACAGCUCCGCCAAUGCUGUUAUAAUUCACAUAAGGCUUGAGGGAUGUACUCUGAGAAAGCAGAGAAAAUCUACUUCAGGCUACUUUGGGUAAUGAAUGCACUCAACUAAUUAAGCUGUUAGAAUUUUAAUGUUUUAGCAAAUUCUGCCCUCAUUCAUAGGAACAAAAACCAGUAUGUUUAGAGAGGAUUAGAUGAAAUAUUAUGUCUGGUGGAUUGCUGCAGUAAUCCCUUCCUCACUUAUCUGUGAAAUAUUAUUAUUAUUUUAAAAAGGUGUCUUCACAUGGUCCAAACCUGGGCACAUUAUGCCAGAAUUGAAUAUCAUUGGCCAUGGGGUGGACUAUCUAAUUCCACAUUCACAUAUGAAGCAGUGUUGGGACAAUUAUGAUUUUGUUAGCUAUUUCAGCGAGCUAAGAGUACAUUCAACAGAACAUUUUAUGGAAAGAGGUUUUAUUUUAUGUGAAAGAUACCAGACUCUGUUUCAAUUAAGGCACUGUAGAAAAAUUCAUACAUAAUUUACUAGAGCCAAUUGUUAUAGAAUAUUAAAAUAACUUUUAAUAAAUAGUCCUGACUAACUGGCAAUAAACUGUAUUAAGACCCAUAAACAGUAUAUGCUGGCCUUAGCAUAGUCAUAUUAUACCUUCACUAGGACUUGGAAUGCUCAGAAAAGUUGAGAUGCUCCCACCAAAUGAUGAUAUUGUAGCUCUUUAUGGUGGUAUUAUCCCUAUUUCGUUCCUCAAAAUAUAUUCUCAAUAACUUCUUCCUGACUGUGAAGCAGUCCUUCUGGAGACAUGCACACAAGUUGAGGAAUCAAGAAAAGAUUAAUUCAGAUUACAACUCUCCAGGGGGAGCCCAGGUGAUUUUGGAAGAAUUCAGCCUAAAGUCUGACAUGGAUUUAGUUCUUUUAAAAUGGGUUUCUUAUUUUAAAAAAUAUGCAAGGAAAAGAAGAAAUUGGAUUAUUAAAAGAGUAAAAAAAAUCAAAAAUCAAACAGGAACUUACCUUACA